GUCCUGUCUCUCGAUGUGCGUCGAGACUGAUGAGUCCGAAAGGACGAAACAGAUG
rnacentral:hammerhead_ribozyme from 1 species